rfam:Picoides pubescens contig48324, whole genome shotgun sequence.
UGAGGUGCUGCUGGUAAGGGCUGGAGUGUUGAUUAGUUCAGAAACUAUCAUUAACUUCCUACAAUAUAGAUGUAAGUAGCUUCUGGCCUUCCACACUUAAUCAUUAUGGUCAAACCCAGAAAUCAUGUCAGGCUGCCUUUUCAUUAUUUUCACUUGGUUUAUGUGAUGAUUAGGAGGUCACACAAUGCUUCAGAUAAAAGAAGCAACAUAUAAAACAUUUAAGCCUCAUCUUUUUGUCAUCUCAUUGCAGAAAUUUGAGUAAAACUGAUAAUUUAAUUAAAACAAAGCAUCGCGAAGGCCCGCGGCGGGUGUUGACGCGAUGUAAUUUCUGCCCAGUGCUCUGAAUGUCAAAGUGAAGAAAUUCAAUGAAGCGCGGGUAAACGGCGGGAGUAACUAUGACUCUCUUAAGGCAUCCGGCACCGACGGGAUCUAAUUAGUGACGCGCAUGAAUGGAUGAACGAGAUUCCCACUGUCCCUACCUACUAUCCAGCGAAACCACAGCCAAGGGAACGGGCUUGGCAGAAUCAGCGGGGAAAGAAGACCCUGUUGCCUCAACCCAGCACAUUCUUGGUAGCAGAGGAUGGUUGUUGUGGGGGGGGGGUCUGCCUCUAAACCCACCACAUCUGGUAAGGAAAACCUGAAGUCAGUUAGCAAAUAUAUCUGUGAAAUGCAGCACUGUAGUGUUCCACUGUGGUUUACCAUUAACAAUUCUGUGUGUAUCCAUCAACCACAAUAACUAAGUUGGAAAGCAGAACUUGCAUCUGUGUUUCUCAUCUAAAUAGCGUUGUAGUAGUACAUGUACAAGUGCUGUCAUAUGUAGCCCGAUCAAGGUUCCCACUUGAACUUCAUUCAGAGUAUUGGUGUAGCAAUUCUUGUACAUUUUUCUUAAAAACCUGAUGCUUUAA